GCCUCUUCCAGCUCGUGCUGGAGCUUGCGGAACCUGGAGAGGUUGACGUUGGAUUGUUCCUCCUGAGAAUGAAUGGAAAUACAUUUAGGAGCGAAUAUGGUUCCGAAUUUCUAGUUUCUUAGAGGCCAGGGGAAAAACAAAAACCAUAAAUGAACAGAAGAACUAAUUUGUGAUAUAUAGGACCUGAGGGGCAAGGAAUGGUCACGAAAUUUAAUGGAGAAAGUUUGAUGGAAUGAAACUACUGUUCUGGCCACUUUCAAACAGAGUUGAGAUGAUUUUGGAAUGAAAAAUAAUUAUGAAUGAGAAGAGUAGAAACCACAGGACACUCCCUCCCUCCGCUACUCAUGGAGCAGGAGCUCCUGAGAACAGUCCUCAGAUGGUUUGAAUACCGUAAGGCACACUGAAAGUAGCAGGUUAUCUUUAAUCACAUUGGACACUGAGGCAAAAACUGGCAC